AACACUGAUGAAAUUAAUUCGUGCUUCCGCUAUGAACUCGAAACGUUCAGUUUCAUAUCUACAGAAACUGUCUGUCUCCUACGGAUUGUAUAUACAAAUACAUUUAAUCCAGAAUAUCAUGAUUUGAUCAAAGAGUGUAACGCAAAAGACAGCCGUAGAGUUUCGCAUCGGCUGGUCCGUCAGUAAAUACUUCCCCCGCCGUUUGUGGUUUCUUUGAGUUUAUUAAGUUAUUCUCUUAUACAUUUGCAUAUAAGUAAAGUAUAACAUAACAUUUCACUGUGUAAAAUAUAUUAUUCAGAACAUCCCUUCUGCUUCGUAAGACGACAUAACAAAUAAAUUGAGUGAUUUUAUUUACGCACGAGCCGGAAGUACUGCUUGGAGUUAAUCAUAUGUGUGCAGCAGUGUAUAUUCAUCCGUGUGGAGGUCAGAGGUUUCACUGAGACUUUUGCUGUUCUGUCUGUCUGCUUACACGAAGACUAUAUAUUUCAGCAUGAACCAGUCCAAACUGUCCACUGGAAAGCGCCUUACAAAGCCGAUUCUCUUUGGGACACUGCUUGUUGGUCUGGCCACAGCAUUUCUGAACAGGCAUAUUUUCAUGGAGGACCUGACAGAUCUCAGAGAGCAGGAACGAUCCCGCAAUGAGGCAAAACGGCUGGAGGUGCUGGAAAGAAGGAAAAAACAAAUGGAUGAACUUGUAGAGAAGAAGAGUGCAGGGGAUAGAUGAGAUGACUGAAUGGAAACCCACAUGAAAACAACACUGAAGAAAACAAAACAUGGGACAUUUUUUGCCAAUAAGGAUUUGUGGAGUGUUAUAAAACUUUUUCCUUGAGUAUCUGAUAUUGCUGUAAUGGGACAUAGUUGCAUGGAAAGUCCAUAAGUGAUGGAGUAAGCAAUGAUUUGAAUUGAUUGCUUGGAUCAUAUUUAGCUGUAACAGCUGGAUUUGCAAGAUGAUUAGAAUGGUAAAUAUGAAUGGGCCAAACAAAUGUAGGCUAUGUAUGUGCCUCAUUCCUGCCACUGACAAAAAGCUAAUUUUGUAUUUAUGUAUAUAUAAAAAAAUCAUUUUAUGGUUAAUCCAAACAAUUUAUUAAUAUUAAAAAUGCUAUUCACCAGUUAAAAGGCAAAAAAUAAAUAAAUCUGAGUUUUUCAAAUAUUUAAUGUACCAUUAAAACGAUUUAUUAAUACAUUUAUGAAAUUAUGAGUAAAAAAAUUGUUACACUGUGCAGUUAACAAUAAAGCAUUAUUCUAAAUUCCUUA